rnacentral:rRNA from 1 species
AUUGAACGCUGGCGGCAGGCCUUACACAUGCAAGUCGAGCGGCAGCAGGGGUGCUGGCCCUUGGUGGAGCGGGGCGCGCGGGAGUGAUGUCCAGCGAAACGCGUGGUGGAGUGGGAUAAAGCCCGGCAAAGGGCGCUUAAAUAGCACACACGAUGAGGGGGAGAGAGCGGGAGCCCUGCGCGCCACGCGCUAAGAGGAGGGUCGAUGGCUGAUUAGCUAGUUGGUGGGGUAAAGGCCUACCAAGGCGACGAUCCGUAGCUGGUCUGAGAGGACGACCAGCCACACUGGGACUGAGACACGGCCCAGACUCCUACGGGAGGCAGCAGUGGGGAAUUUUGGACAAUGGGCGAAAGCCUGAUCCAGCCAUGCCGCGUGUGUGAAGAAGGUCUUCGGGUUGUAAAGCACUUUUGUCUGGGAAGAAAUCCAUUGCGUUAAUACCGUCGUGUGAUGACGUUACCGGCAGAAUAAGCACCGGCUAACUUCGUG